rnacentral:rRNA from 1 species
AUUGAACGCUGGCGGCAGGCCUAACACAUGCAAGUCGAGCGAGCGGCGGACGGGUGAGUAAUGUCUGGGAAACUGCCUGAUGGAGAGGGAUAACUACUGGAAACGGUAGAGAAUACCGCAUAUCAUAAGAGGUGCACAGAUGGGAUUGGCUAGGAGGUGGGGUAAUGGCUCACCUAGGCGACGAACCCUAGCUGGUCUGAGAGGAUGCCCAGCCACACUGGAACUGAGCCACGGUCCAGACUCCUACGGGAGGCAGCAGUGGGGAAUAUUGCACAAUGGGCGCAAGCCUGAUGCAGCCAUGCCGCGUGUGUGAAGAAGGCCUUCGGGUUGUAAAGCACUUUCAGCGGGGAGGCGUUACCCGCAGAAGAAGCACCGGCUAACUCCGUGCCAGCCGCCGCGGUAAUUC